rnacentral:lncRNA from 1 species
UCAUAAACAUAUACUAUAUACAACUUGCGGAAGAUAUGCUCCCCAAACUUGCAGCCAAAGAUAUUGGCUUGAUGUAUAUGACAACUUGUAACCAACUAAUAACUAAACAAUUACUAAUUUCAUAUUCCUGAUACAUUAUUGUCAACCCCAACUCAUUUAUAUAAGCAAAUGAAAUGAAACAUUCUUAACUCAACGAUUGUGGAGAGGGUCUGAUGCAUUAGGAACUUUCCUCUUCUCUGAGGCAAAAACAUCAAAUGGGUACUUUGGAACUUGUUCUUGAUGCUGCAGCAGCUUCUUCUGCCUCAAUUGCUUCUCUUGCGUAUUUGGUUUCUGGUUGCUGAGGCCAACAACUGAUUCUUCCUUUUCUCCACAGACUAAGAAUGUAAGCAAAACAAAAAACAGUACCCUCUUCAAACCCCCAACAUGAAUGCAAUGACGAAAAUGCAUGUUUUGUUGCCUUCAGAGGAGGGUGUGAGGAUACUGAAGGAUACAUAUAAUGGGUGCAGAUAGAUAUGCAGAGAAGGUUGAAAAAGUUAGGGAGAAUAAUAAAAGCUAAAUGCACUUGAUGAUAAAGAUAUGAGAGGAAAAGCUAAUAGGCUUUGUUUGGGAAGUGUAGAAGGAAAAAAGUGAUCCAGUGUGUUCAUUGAGUAUACCCUGCAAACAAGGGGCACAUCUCUCGAAAGGACUUUUUCUAACUUUUGCUUUAAUGUAGUAUUCUGUGUCUUCACGAGAACCUUUUAUUUGAGUUUGGUUCUCUUCUUCUAUAAUAGGAUUAGAAUUUAAAAUAUGUGCA